GGACAGAUAAAUGUGCAAGCCUGUGUGAAUCUCUGCUGAGGCCUCAUCUGUAAAACACACCGUGUGCCACUCGUCUGACACCAGUUGAACCUGAUGAAGUCGGUAACUUCCAGCUUCAGGCUUGCCCAGAACUUCCGUGAGAAGAUGUUUGUCCAAUCUAAAACAACGGCAAUGUGACAACAUGCGAGAAAGGAAUGAAAUGUGGCCUGGCUGUAGUUGGCUCUGUACUGCAUUCACUCUGCACCGUUUGGAAAGCCUUAUAAUCCAACAGGAUAUCUGAAUGUCUCACCGUCAGGUCCACGUGCAAAGACUGCCAAAUGGAGUUUCACCCUUGUGGCCCAGGUUUGGAGCACCAUGGCAGGAUCUCAGCUCACUGCAACCUCUGCCUCCUGGGUUCAAGCGAUUCUCCUGCCUCAGCCUCCUG